rnacentral:rRNA from 1 species
AUUGAACGCUGGCGGCAGGCCUAACACAUGCAAGUCGAACGAGUGGGGACGGGUGAGUAACACGUGGGUAACCUCCCAUCAGAGGGGAUAACACUUGGAAACAGGUGCUAAACCGAUACUGAUGGAUGGACCCGCGGUGCAUUAGCUAGUUGGUGAGGUAACGGCUCACCAAGGCCACGAUGCAUAGCCGACCUGAGAGGGUGAUCGGCCACACUGGGACUGAGACACGGCCCAGACUCCUACGGGAGGCAGCAGUAGGGAAUCUUCGGCAAUGGACGAAAGUCUGACCGAGCAACGCCGCGUGAGUGAAGAAGGUUUUCGGAUCGUAAAACUCUGUUGUUAGAGAAGCGGUAUCUAACCAGAAAGCCACGGCUAACUACGUGCCAGCAGCCGCGGUAAUAC